GAACCUGUGGCGUCCAUUUCUAAUGACGCUUACCCAGCAUGCUCUCGAAGACGCAACCGUGCUGUUCAAGACUUCAUUACUUAUUCAUUGUGUGUGCAGAGAGAGAAGGGUAUAGAGGACGAGACAGGCCAAAAUAUUUAAGAAAUGUCAGUCAUGUGAUUGAUGGAAAUGGAGGCAGUCGAUAGAUGAGGAGAACAGAAGAGAAAAGAUUUUUCCAGGAAUAACAUCUACUUGAAUAAAGAUAUUGACACAAAGCCCACUUACAAUGAAAAAGGGGGUGACUUCACGAUCAA